rnacentral:rRNA from 1 species
GAGUUUGAUCAUGGCUCAGAUUGAACGCUGGCGGCAUGCCUAACACAUGCAAGUCGAACGGUAACGCGGGGGCGAACCCUGGCGACGAGUGGCGGACGGGUGAGUAAUACGUAGGAAUCUGCCCAUUUGUGGGGGAUAACCCGGCGAAAGCCGGGCUAAUACCGCAUACGCUCUACGGAGGAAAGCAGGGGAUCGUAAGACCUUGCGCUAAUGGAUGAGCCUACGUCGGAUUAGCUAGUUGGUAGGGUAACGGCCUACCAAGGCGACGAUCCGUAGCUGGUCUGAGAGGACGAUCAGCCACACUGGGACUGAGACACGGCCCAGACUCCUACGGGAGGCAGCAGUGGGGAAUAUUGGACAAUGGGGGCAACCCUGAUCCAGCAAUGCCGCGUGUGUGAAGAC